rnacentral:rRNA from 1 species
UCCGACCGGGGGCGACAGCAAUAUGAAGGUCAGGCUGAAGACCUUACCCGAUUAGCUGAGAGGUGGUGCAUGGCCGUCGUCAGUUCGUACUGUGAAGCAUCCUGUUAAGUCAGGCAACGAGCGAGACCCACGUCCACAGUUGCCAGCAUACCCUCCGGGGUGAUGGGUACACUGUGGAGACCGCCGCUGCUAAAGCGGAGGAAGGAGUGGGCAACGGUAGGUCAGUAUGCCCCGAAUCUCCCGGGCUACACGCGGGCUACAAUGGUUGGUACAAUGGGCAUCUACCCCGAAAGGGGAAGGAAAUCUCUUAAAGCCAAUCGUAGUUCGGAUUGAGGGCUGCAACUCGCCCUCAUGAAGCUGGAAUCCGUAGUAAUCGCGUUUCAACAGAACGCGGUGAAUACGUCCCUGCUCCUU